ensembl:lncRNA
UGCAGCCCAGCCGUGCCCCCACGCACCCCCUGCUCCUGCGCUUCGCCCCAGCCACAAAGCAGUUAAUAUUUGUUGAUCGCGGCGGCGUGCUCGGCUCUCUGUGCAGCUCUCGGAGGCAGCGCGAUACUCCCUGGUCUCCAGGGAUCUCGUGGCAUUUUGCCCAGAUGGCAUCGGUCUGUGUCUCAAGGACAUAACACAGCGCCUACGGAUCCUUGCAGCAGCGCUGUAGUGACAGAUGAAGCCAGGGCGCUCCUUCGUCUCCGCCGAGAGGGAAGAAAAGCUCCACAAAAUGCCCGGUCUCCAGCCGGCCGCUCCCUUUCGCCUCCACGAAUGAGCCGGUGCCCGGCGGCUGCCCGGGUUGCUUCGCGCAGGGGCAGAGCUGGCUGAGCACGGGGGGGUCCCCUCCCCGCGGAGGAGAGGGCGCUCGGCUCCGUCCCCUUCUGCCAGCACCGCAGGUCAGAGAAGAGUCACCGCCCUUUAAGUGCCAAGAAGAGGCCUUCCACCCUCUGGUGCAAGAAGACUUUGAACAUUUACUCUCUCGCUCUGAUUAUGUAAAAAUCCUAAUUAAAAAGUUAAUGGGGAACUUGAAGACUGGAGAAUCCAGAUGCAUGCCAGGCUGGCAGGGGGCAGAUGGUAGCUGCUGUUGUUGGGAAAAGAUAUUUGGGGAUCAGUGACCAGAAGGCCAUGUUUACCGACCGGUGAAAAUGUAACUGUAAAGAUCCAUCGCUGGCAGCUGCCUGGAAGCAGAGCCCUCGAGUAUUUGUUUCCAUUAUUUCUAAUUUCACAUAUGACUGUAGUGCUUUAGGGACGUUCAAAUACAUACCAGGAAAGCGGUCGCCAGUCUAACCUCAGCGCUACGAGGACACAACACAACGUUUCCCAAAUCCCCAACCUCUCGUCUUGCCGGGGGCAGGCGGGUGCUGCAGGAGGGCUCUCCCCACCAAGCAGCCAUCGCCCUCACCCCUUGCCAGCAUCAAGGCGAGCAGCGAGCAGCGGGGCUGUCCUCCGCGGGCUGCUCUGCUCCCUGCGCUCCCUACGACUGCUGCUCCGCCACCAGGAGAGGGAGAGGUGGGGAGCCACGGGCACUGCUCCCAGGCACUGCCCAUCUCCGCAGGGAUGGGGAAGAGGACGGACAGAUGUCUCCAGCAGGCCCAGCUGGCAAACAUCUGACCGAACAACCUUACACAGCACAUCAAAGUGCUGUGGACGUUAGCCUGGGCGGACGUUAGGCGCUGCCUGUAAACGUGCUGGAGUGCCUCUGCCGUUCUGAGCACACCAGCGGCAGGGUGUGGAGGAAGGCUCGCUGGCAGCACUGGCUGGAUUCCUCCCUGCAUGCAGUACCUGAAGUACUCCUUCACCCACUUGUGAAGACAGUGGCUUCCUAGAGACAGUGAGUCCAUAAGGAAGCGACAUUUCAUAAUUAUGACAUUUCAUAAUGGAUGUGAAAGACUUUUCUACCCUUCAGCUGCUCCCAACCCAGAUGGUUACACACAUCUUUGUAAGUGCAGAGGUGUUACUUUACUGUCCUUUUGCUGGCCGAAACAAGAAGCCUGGAGGUUCAAGCUCUAAUGAACACAAGAGAAAAAGAAGAAAGAAUGAAACAAAAGAAAUGUAGCGAGCAGGACAGAAAGUGACCCAGAU